rnacentral:rRNA from 1 species
CGUUAUAACCGGCGAUAACCGAAUGGGGAAACCCAGGGUGUUUCGACACACCAUCAUUAACUGAAUCCAUAGGUUAAUGAGGCGAACCGGGGGAACUGAAACAUCUAAGUACCCCGAGGAAAAGAAAUCAACCGAGAUUCCCCCAGUAGCGGCGAGCGAACGGGGANNNNNNNNNNNNNNNNNNNNNNNNNNNNNNNNNNNNNNNNNNNNNNNNNNNNNNNNNNNNNNNNNNNNNNNNNNNNNNNNNNNNNNNNNNNNNNNNNNNNNNNNNNGUGACUGCGUACCUUUUGUAUAAUGGGUCAGCGACUUAUAUUCUGUAGCAAGGUUAACCGAAUAGGGGAGCCGGAGGGAAACCGAGUCUUAAUUGGGCGUUAAGUUGCAGGGUAUAGACCCGAAACCCGGUGAUCUAGCCAUGGGCAGGUUGAAGGUUGGGUAACACUAACUGGAGGACCGAACCGACUAAUGUUGAAAAAUUAGCGGAUGACCUGUGGCUGGGGGUGAAAGGCCAAUCAAACCGGGAGAUAGCUGGUUCUCCCCGAAAGCUAUUUAGGUAGCGCCUCGUGAAUUCAUCUCCGGGGGUAGAGCACUGUUUCGGCUAGGGGGCCAUCCCGGCUUACCAACCCGAUGCAAACUGCGAAUACCGGAGAAUGUUAUCACGGGAGACACACGGCGGGUGCUAACGUCCGUCGUGAAGAGGGAAACAACCCAGACCGCCAGCUAAGGUCCCAAAGUCAUGGUUAAGUGGGAAACGAUGUGGGAAGGCCCAGACAGCCAGGAUGUUGGCUUAGAAGCAGCCAUCAUUUAAAGAAAGCGUAAUAGCUCACUGGUCGAGUCGGCCUGCGCGGAAGAUGUAACGGGGCUAAACCAUGCACCGAAGCUGCGGCAGCGACGCUGAUGCGUUGUUGGGUAGGGGAGCGUUCUGUAAGCCUGCGAAGGUGGCCUGUGAGGGUUGCUGGAGGUAUCAGAAGUGCGAAUGCUGACAUAAGUAACGAUAAAGCGGGUGAAAAGCCCGCUCGCCGGAAGACCAAGGGUUCCUGUCCAACGUUAAUCGGGGCAGGGUGAGUCGACCCCUAAGGCGAGGCCGAAAGGCGUAGUCGAUGGGAAACGGGUUAAUAUUCCCGUACUUGGUGUUACUGCGAAGGGGGGACGGAGAAGGCUAUGUUGGCCGGGCGACGGUUGUCCCGGUUUAAGCGUGUAGGUGUGUGUUCCAGGUAAAUCCGGUUCACUUUAACACUGAGGCGUGAUGACGAGGCACUACGGUGCUGAAGCAACAAAUGCCCUGCUUCCAGGAAAAGCCUCUAAGCAUCAGGUAACAUCAAAUCGUACCCCAAACCGACACAGGUGGUCAGGUAGAGAAUACCAAGGCGCUUGAGAGAACUCGGGUGAAGGAACUAGGCAAAAUGGUGCCGUAACUUCGGGAGAAGGCACGCUGACACGUAGGUGAAGUGAUUUACUCAUGGAGCUGAAGUCAGUCGAAGAUACCAGCUGGCUGCAACUGUUUAUUAAAAACACAGCACUGUGCAAACACGAAAGUGGACGUAUACGGUGUGACGCCUGCCCGGUGCCGGAAGGUUAAUUGAUGGGGUCAGCGCAAGCGAAGCUCCUGAUCGAAGCCCCGGUAAACGGCGGCCGUAACUAUAACGGUCCUAAGGUAGCGAAAUUCCUUGUCGGGUAAGUUCCGACCUGCACGAAUGGCGUAAUGAUGGCCAGGCUGUCUCCACCCGAGACUCAGUGAAAUUGAACUCGCUGUGAAGAUGCAGUGUACCCGCGGCAAGACGGAAAGACCCCGUGAACCUUUACUAUAGCUUGACACUGAACAUUGAGCCUUGAUGUGUAGGAUAGGUGGGAGGCUUUGAAGUGUGGACGCCAGUCUGCAUGGAGCCGGCCUUGAAAUACCACCCUUUAAUGUUUGAUGUUCUAACGUGGACCCGUGAUCCGGGUUGCGGACAGUGUCUGGUGGGUAGUUUGACUGGGGCGGUCUCCUCCUAAAGAGUAACGGAGGAGCACGAAGGUUGGCUAAUCCUGGUCGGACAUCAGGAGGUUAGUGCAAUGGCAUAAGCCAGCUUGACUGCGAGCGUGACGGCGCGAGCAGGUGCGAAAGCAGGUCAUAGUGAUCCGGUGGUUCUGAAUGGAAGGGCCAUCGCUCAACGGAUAAAAGGUACUCCGGGGAUAACAGGCUGAUACCGCCCAAGAGUUCAUAUCGACGGCGGUGUUUGGCACCUCGAUGUCGGCUCAUCACAUCCUGGGGCUGAAGUAGGUCCCAAGGGUAUGGCUGUUCGCCAUUUAAAGUGGUACGCGAGCUGGGUUUAGAACGUCGUGAGACAGUUCGGUCCCUAUCUGCCGUGGGCGCUGGAGAACUGAGGGGGGCUGCUCCUAGUACGAGAGGACCGGAGUGGACGCAUCACUGGUGUUCGGGUUGUCAUGCCAAUGGCACUGCCCGGUAGCUAAAUGCGGAAGAGAUAAGUGCUGAAAGCAUCUAAGCACGAAACUUGCCCCGAGAUGAGUUCUCCCUGAGCCUUAGAGUUUCCUGAAGGAACGUUGAAGACGACGACGUUGAUAGGCCGGGUGUGUAAGCGCAGCGAUGCGUUAAGCUAACCGGUACUAAUGAACCGUG